rnacentral:lncRNA from 1 species
UACAAAUAUAAAUAUAAUGAAAUGUGCACACGAUGAUACAAAUAUUUCUAAUUUGAUUGAUUAAUUAAAUUAAAAGUUACCAUAGCGUGCAGGAUUGGCUGUAAUAUCUUGGAAAAUCCCAUAAGCAUUGAUGUAGAUAAACUUGGCAUCAGAAUUGUUGUUGUUGAAUUGAUCCACGAGGCCUCUGAGCUUGUUAUUGAAUAUUACGUUUGCGUCAUUCACUCUCUUCACACAAGUUCUCCCAUCUGGACUGUUUUGAGCCAAUUGAUUUGGGCUGCACCCUAUCUGUCCCACUCCAAUCAACACAAAUUUCCUUGCCCCAUAGUUGUAAAACGCCUAUAUUAUACACAUAUUCAUUCACGAUUCAUCAGUACUUAAUUAUUUGAGAAUUCAUAAUGGAAAAAAAAGGGGUCUGAGCGACUCAGGUACCUGAAGUUGCUGAGUGUACUGUUGAAUAAGAAGGUCUGCAUACUGCUCGGGGGUGUAUUGACGACCGGUUGAAUAAUAGAGGGGCUGGAAGUAGUUGUUGAGGUAGUCGUUGCUGCCUAAUCCGAUUGAGUAUAUGCAUCGGCUCAGGUAAUUUGCAGCUUGAUCUUCAUUUCCUAGUAAGUUCACUACUUGCUGAACCGUGUUUUGGUAAUUCUUUACCUGCCCACUAAAACUGAUUCGAUCUCCCUGAAAUUUAAUAAUGCAUGUGCAUGUAUGUAUAACAUUAGUUAAUUCAGGAUUCACUUCAUCAGUUGAUGCAUGUCACAUGUUAUUACUAAAACCUGUAUGUACAAAUAUAAAUAUAAUGAAAUGUGCACAUGAUGAUACAAAUAUUUCUAAUUUGAUUAAUUAAUUAAAUUAAAGUUACCAUAGCGUGCGGGAUUGGCUGUAAUAUCUUGGAAAAUCCCAUAAGCAUUGAUGUAGAUAAACUUGGCAUCAGAAUUGUUGUUGUUGAAUUGAUCCACGAGGCCUCUGAGCUUGUUAUUGAAUAUUACGUUUGCGUCAUUCACUCUCUUCACACAAGUUCUCCCAUCUGGACUGUUUUGAGCCAAUUGAUUUGGGCUGCACCCUAUCUGUCCCACUCCAAUCAACACAAAUUUCCUUGCCCCAUAGUUGUAAAACGCCUAUAUUAUACACAUAUUCAUUCACGAUUCAUCAGUACUUAAUUAUUUGAGAAUUCAUAAUGGAAAAAAAAGGGGUCUGAGCGACUCAGGUACCUGAAGUUGCUGAGUGUACUGUUGAAUAAGAAGGUCUGCAUACUGCUCGGGGGUGUAUUGACGACCGGUUGAAUAAUAGAGGGGCUGGAAGUAGUUGUUGAGGUAGUCGUUGCUGCCUAAUCCGAUUGAGUAUAUGCAUCGGCUCAGGUAAUUUGCAGCUUGAUCUUCAUUUCCUAGUAAGUUCACUACUUGCUGAACCGUGUUUUGGUAAUUCUUUACCUGCCCACUAAAACUGAUUCGAUCUCCCUGAAAUUUAAUAAUGCAUGUGCAUGUAUGUAUAACAUUAGUUAAUUCAGGAUUCACUUCAUCAGUUGAUGCAUGUCACAUGUUAUUAUUAAUUAUUUGUUGAUAUGAAAUGGACAUUAUUAAAGUUCAUAUAUGCAUGCAUGCAUUAAAUAAAUAAAUUAACUAAUUAAUGGGAUUGAUUAUUUUC